rnacentral:rRNA from 1 species
CGAUCCGCCCGGCCCGAUCCCCAAAUCCCUCCGCAUCUCAUGGCGGCGAGCCUGUGGCGAGCGGUGAUGGGCACCGGCGCCCCGCCCGCGGACGCCACGGACGGCGUCGAGUUCUGGCGCGAGCCGGAGCGCGGCGGGUGGCUGGACAAGCAGGGCGAGUACAUCAAGACGUGGCGGCGGCGGUGGUUCGUGCUCAAGCAGGGGAAGCUCUUCUGGUUCAAGGACUCGACCGUCACGCGCGCCUCCGUGCCCCGCGGCGUCAUCGCCGUCGCCUCCUGCCUCACCGUCAAGGGCGCCGAGGACGUGCUCAACCGCAAGUUCGCCUUCGAGCUCUCCACCCCGGGCGAGACCAUGUACUUCGUCGCCGACUCCGACAAGGAGAAGGAGGACUGGAUCAACUCCAUCGGCCGCUCCAUUGUCCAGCACUCCCGGUCCAUGACCGACGACGAGAUCGUCGACUACGACAGCGGCCGCCCCGCGGCCGGCGGCAAAUCAUAGAUUCGUCGAUUGAUUCGGGUCCCCAUCUCAUCAUUGGAAAUGGCUAGGCUCAAGAGCUGAAUGCUAACAUCAUUCCUAACAUUAUUGUGCCGUCAUGUGGUAGAUACAUGUGGUUAGUAUUGUACUUAUGUUCCUGCAAAAAAAAAAUAUUGCACUUACGGAGAUAAUAGUUUCGCAGUACACCCUGAUAAGAUAACUCUGUCUUGCGCAGGCGAGUUGGGUAGAUGUGAUUUUUCUGUUUCUCUAAUUAAUUAUUUUAUUUCCUGACUUACGAAUGUUAUAUGCGUAUCUCUGAUUUGAGGAUACUUGCUUUGCAUGCCCAGCAAGAUAAUGUUCUGUAGACGCAUUUAUCUGUUAAAUGUACCAAAGUAUUGAAGUGGGAUAAAGUUCACAUAUUUUUAUAUGCCAACUUGGCAACUUAUAUGUUUGGAGCUUGGAGACGACACUCCGCGUCUAUUUUGAAACAGGUAUAUGAAUGUAAGUUCGGUUGGGAAUGCAGACUCCUGGUUGAGAUUGGGCAGCUAGGUUCUGGUGCAUGACCUAUGAAAUAUGAUGCUUAUACCAGUUUAACUUGUUAAGGGUACAUUUUUGUAUCCCACAGGGAUCUUUGCAGCUCCACUGGUCCCGGAAGGAAGACCUGUCCCGAACUUUGUACUGUUCCAGCUUGCAACCGAAAUCCUGACUUAUUUCGUUCAGAUUUUUACCUUCACUUGUAACUUUGUCAGACCGAA